GACGAACGCUGGCGGCGUGCUUAAUACAUGCAAGUCGAGCGGUAAGGCCCUUUCGGGGGUACACGAGCGGCGAACGGGUGAGUAACACGUGGGUGACCUGCCUUUAGCUCUGGGAUAAGCCUGGGAAACUGGGUCUAAUACCGGAUAUGACUCCGCGGUGCAUGCUGUGGGGUGAAAGCCUUGUGCGGCUGGAGAUGGGCCCGCGGCCUAUCAGCUUGUUGGUGGGGUGAUGGCCUACCAAGGCGACGACGGGUAGCCGGCCUGAGAGGGCGACCGGCCACACUGGGACUGAGACACGGCCCAGACUCCUACGGGAGGCAGCAGUGGGGAAUCUUGCGCAAUGGGCGAAAGCCUGACGCAGCGACGCCGCGUGAGGGAUGACGGCCU
rnacentral:rRNA from 1 species